UCAGGAAGGCAGAGAGGAGCACAGCUGCUCAUUCCUCUCCAUGAUCUCUGCUGCAUUCCCUGUCCUGCAUCCCUACAAGCUAGCUCUCCUGUGGGUAGCAAGGCAUGCCUCCUCCACAGCAGUCUCCUGCAGCCUUGGUGCAUUCCCCCAGCCAAGCCCUGGGUUGGUUCCCGGGGGACUGCAGUGCCAAAUAUACACAAGGGAUACUGAGCAAACCCUGCCUUUCCCUAAAGCUUUGUGUUGUGCUGCAUAAUUUUAGAGUGCUUUCCCCUAUCAUAUGAAAUGGGUGUGUGGGGUAGCCAUGGUGGAGGUCAUGCUGCUCCCAUCAUGUUUCACAGGGAAUUCCAGAAGCAGGUCUUCUUUUUCUUUUGCUGUGUGCAAUUCCCAGGGAGCAUGGAGGAGGAGCUCAGUGUCUUGAGGGCUGCUUGGGGCCAGAUUUCAAGCACUGCUUUUAGGCACUCAGGUUGGAUACUACCAUGCCUAAAAUGUAGGUGCUGCACCCCAAAGACUAUGAUGCUUGUUAUCCUGCCUAGGCACCUCAUCUCCCUGCUGUACAGUUGGGCACUUAUGCAGAGCUGAAGAGCUGUCCUGAGGUGGGUGGAAACAUGCUUUCUGGAGAUGGGGUGUUAACGAUCCACUCCAGAAGGCAAGGGUAACCCAGGUUCUUGUUAACAGGUCCUGUGAGGCGGAUUAGAGUGAAAUGGCACUGAAUGAUUGGUGUUUGUACAGAUAUAUAUAUUUUUAGGGUUUAUUUUAGAACAGUUUGGUUGCAAUGGAAGACAGGUAUGUAGCCAUUUUAGUUUUUAUUAUUACUAUAGUAAUAUCGCAAUAGGAAAGCAUAAAAAUAUCACUUAAGAAAAUGUGCAAGGGAAGGAAGGAAGGAAGGAAGGAAGGAAGGAAGGAAGGAAGGAAGGAAGGAAGGAAGGAAGGAAGGAAGGAAAAGAGUAGAAACAUAUUGCCACCUGUGGAUUCCGUGACAAGAGUUGAUUGUUGCAAUUUUGAUGUCCAUUGGUUGAAGUGAUGGUCACAGUCUUGAUCUGUCUGGGUUGGGGGAAAAGCCCACAAAACACAAAGUCCAAGGGGUUAAUAUGCGCUUGGUGGGAACACUCAGGUACCUCCUCUGAAGGGGUUGUUUCAGUCCUCUGGUGGAAGGCCUCAGAAAUGAGUCUGGGGGUGCUUAGGGGGUCUUUGAUGGUGUAUGACCCCUUCUAAGACAUGACAGCUGCCUCUCACAUCAGUGCAGUUGAGCCAGUUAAUGCCCCAUCAGACUUUCCCCAGGGGGAGGGAGGGGAGUUUUACAACAGUGAAUUUCAUGAGGGAGGACAGUUGGCAUGAUAAAAAGCACCAUCCCACCUCCAAGGAUCUGCCUCUUAUCAGCCUUAGAAGCUUGUAGCCUCCAGUGGUGGGUGUUCACCCCCUCUGUCUUAUGUGGAUCACCACCACACACGCAAAACCUCUCCUCCUUCCCCUUGGCUGGAGGAGAAGCGUAUGCAAACCCUUCCUUAGCAAAUGAGACUCUGGGCUGUGGCCUCCCCCAGCACUGUGUACUUCUCCUUACACCUGAGAUAACUGGACAAUAGUCUCACUGUUACCUUAUCUCAAGUUUCUGUCAGGUGGCUUAACUCACAGUCCCAAUUCCACUUGGGAGGCAUAUUGAGAGGAUGGUCUUGAUGGUUGAAGAUGAGCAGUUGCUUUUUUGCACAGUUUGAUAUAGUGGGCAAAGUCCUUUGGUGAUCUAAACAAUGUUUGACCAUUAACCACUUCAGUCUCUCACAUGGCGCAGGACACCUCAGCUGCUCCUGCUGCUCCGGGGUGUAAGUGCCUGACACACCCCAGAGCCAUAUACUAGGUGGCUCCACACAUGCAGGAUGUAUAGCACUCUUCCCACACUCCUGGGGGGAGCUAGAAAGCUGUUCUGCACCUCCCACUACCACCUGCUUCCAGGAGCUGAGACAGAAACCAUGAGAUAGAUAGCAAAAGAGCAGUACAAGUGAAACACUUGCCUCAGAUGCUGAGGGCAGGUGCCGGACAAGGCGAAGCUGAGGUAGAGCAGUGUUGUGAGGCCUCUGUACAGCUCCCAGUCCUGCUGCGCUGUGUAACUGCAGUUGUGACCUUCAUGCACAUGUGAGCCUACGUACAGUUUUAAUUAAUUUGUUUUAUACAGGCACCGGUUGUUCAGAAAGUCUUUCAACCUUAUCCAGAAGCAUACAGCAGAGAGCCAAAAAAUGUAUAACAAAAAAAACCAAAGUCCCAGCUCGGGAUGGCUCGCAGCUGUGCCUCCACCAGGCUCAGGCACUCGGCUGACUUGGCUUCCUCUGCUCCAUCCUUUUCCCCCGACUGAGGACUAGCAUGGCCAUGCAGCAAGGGAGGCAAGCUUAAGGCAUGCAGCCGCUAAGCUGCUGUAACUUAUGUGGUCCCACUCGUCCAGGUGCAGCUC